CUACAGAGGGUGCGAGCGUUAAUCGGAAUUACUGGGCGUAAAGCGCGCGUAGGCGGCUUGGUUAGUCGGAUGUGAAAGCCCUGGGCUCAACCUGGGAAUUGCAUUCGAUACUGCCAAGCUAGAGUAUGGGAGAGGGAAGUGGAAUUUCCGGUGUAGCGGUGAAAUGCGUAGAUAUCGGAAAGAACACCAGUGGCGAAGGCGACUUCCUGGCCCAAUACUGACGCUGAGGUGCGAAAGCGUGGGGAGCGAACAGGAUUAGAUACCCUAGUAGUCC
rnacentral:rRNA from 1 species